CGCUGGCGGCGUGCCUAACACAUGCAAGUCGAACGGAAACCAGGCGCUUCGGAGACUUCGGUCAAUGUUUGCUUGGUUUUAGUGGCGGACGGGUGAGUAACGCGUGGAUAACCUGCCUCAUACAGGGGGAUAACAGUUAGAAAUGACUGCUAAUACCGCAUAAGCGCACGGGAUCGCAUGGUCUUGUGUGAAAAACUCCGGUGGUAUGAGAUGGAUCCGCGUCUGAUUAGCUAGUUGGCGGGGUAACAGCCCACCAAGGCGACGAUCAGUAGCCGGCCUGAGAGGGUGAACGGCCACAUUGGGACUGAGACACGGCCCAAACUCCUACGGGAGGCAGCAGUGGGGGAUAUUGCACAAUGGGGGAAACCCUGAUGCAGCGACGCCGCGUGAGUGAAGAAGUAUUUCGGUAUGUAAAGCUCUAUCAGCAGGGAAGAUAAUGACGGUACCUGACUAAGAAGCACCGGCUAAAUACGUGCCAGCAGCCGCGGUAAUACGUAUGGUGCAAGCGUUAUCCGGAUUUACUGGGUGUAAAGGGAGCGUAAACGGCAAAGCAAGUCUGAUGUGAAAGCUAUGGGCUCAACCCAUAAACUGC
rnacentral:rRNA from 1 species